GAUGAACGCUGGCGGCGUGCCUAAUACAUGCAAGUCGAGCGAAUAGACGAGGAGCUUGCUCCUCUGACGUUAGCGGCGGACGGGUGAGUAACACGUGGAUAACCUACCUAUAAGACUGGGAUAACUUCGGGAAACCGGAGCUAAUACCGGAUAAUAUAUUGAACCGCAUGGUUCAAUAGUGAAAGACGGUUUUGCUGUCACUUAUAGAUGGAUCCGCGCCGCAUUAGCUAGUUGGUAAGGUAACGGCUUACCAAGGCAACGAUGCGUAGCCGACCUGAGAGGGUGGUUGGCCACACUGGAACUGAGAAACGGUCCAGACUCCCACGGGAGGCAGCAGUAGGGAAUCUUCCGCAAUGGGCGAAAGCCUGACGGAGCAACGCCGCGUGAGUGAUGAAGGUCUUCGGAUCGUAAAACUCUGUUAUUAGGGAAGAACAAAUGUGUAAGUAACUAUGCACGUCUUGACGGUACCUAAUCAGAAAGCCACGGCUAACUACGUG
rnacentral:rRNA from 1 species